rnacentral:rRNA from 1 species
AACGCGAAGAACCUUACCAGGUCUUGACAUCCCAAUGUAAGAUGCAGAGAUGUGUCCCCUCUUCGGAGCAUUGGAGACAGGUGGUGCAUGGUUGUCGUCAGCUCGUGUCGUGAGAUGUUGGGUUAAGUCCCGCAACGAGCGCAACCCUUGAACUUAGUUGCCAGCACUUCGGGUGGGCACUCUAGGUUGACUGCCGGUGACAAACCGGAGGAAGGCGGGGAUGACGUCAAAUCAUCAUGCCCCUUAUGACCUGGGCUACACACGUACUACAAUGGCCGGUACAACGGGCUGCGAAACCGCGAGGUGGAGCCAAUCCUAUCAAAGCCGGUCUCAGUUCGGAUUGCAGGCUGCAACUCGCCUGCAUGAAGUCGGAAUUGCUAGUAAUCGCGGAUCAGCAUGCCGCGGUGAAUACGUUCCCGGGCCUUGUA